rnacentral:rRNA from 1 species
GACGAACGCUGGCGGCGUGCUUCAGACAUGCAAGUCGAGCGGGCGAGGUCGAACGCAAGGGAGGCUGAAGCUAGCGGCGAACGGGUGAGUAACACGUGGGUAAUCUACCCGGAAGACUGGGAUAAACGGCCCGAAAGGGCCGCUAAUACCGGAUAAUAUCGCGGUCUCGCAUGAGGCUGCGAAGAAAGGCGAAAGCCACUUUCGGAUGAGCCCGCGACCCAUCAGCUAGUUGGUGAGGUAACGGCUCACCAAGGCGACGACGGGCAGCCGGUCUGAGAGGAUGGUCGGCCACACUGGGACUGAGAUACGGCCCAGACUCCUACGGGAGGCAGCAGUCGGGAAUAUUGGGCAAUGGGCGAAAGCCUGACCCAGCGACGCCGCGUGAGGGAAGAAGGCCUUCGGGUCGUAAACCUCUGUCAUCGGGGACGAAGGAAGUGACGGUACCCGAGGAGGAAGCCCCUGCUAACUACGUG